rnacentral:rRNA from 1 species
UACGAAGGGGGCUAGCGUUGCUCGGAAUCACUGGGCGUAAAGCGCACGUAGGCGGCUUUUUAAGUCAGGGGUGAAAUCCUGGAGCUCAACUCCAGAACUGCCUUUGAUACUGAGAAGCUUGAGUCCGGGAGAGGUGAGUGGAACUGCGAGUGUAGAGGUGAAAUUCGUAGAUAUUCGGAGGAACACCAGUGGCGAAGGCGGCUCGCUGGCUCGAUACUGACGCUGAGGUGCGAAAGCGUGGGGAGCAAACAGG